UACGUAGGGUGCGAGCGUUGUCCGGAAUUAUUGGGCCUAAAGGGCUCGUAGGCGGUUUGUCGCGUCGGGAGUGAAAACCCAGGGCUUAACCCUGGGCUGGCUUCCGAUACGGGCAGACUAGAGGUAUGCAGGGGAGAACGGAAUUCCUGGUGUAGCGGUGAAAUGCGCAGAUAUCAGGAGGAACACCGGUGGCGAAGGCGGUUCUCUGGGCAUUACCUGACGCUGAGGAGCGAAAGUGUGGGGAGCGAACAGG
rnacentral:rRNA from 1 species